rnacentral:rRNA from 1 species
AGCGGACGGGUGAGUAACACGUAAGAACCUACCUCUUGGCGAGGGAUAACUAUUGGAAACGAUAGCUAAUACUUCAUAUUGCUGAGAAGUGAAAGAUGAAAAUUACCAAAAGAUGGGCUCGCGCCUGAUUAGUUAGUUGGUGAGGUAAUGGCUUACCAAGACGACGAUCAGUAGCUGGUUUGAGAGGAUGAUCAGCCACACUGGGACUGAGACACGGCCCAGACUCCUACGGGAGGCAGCAGUGAGGAAUUUUCCGCAAUGGGCGAAAGCCUGACGGAGCAAUACCGCGUGAAGGACGACGGCCUAUGGGUUGUAAACUUCUUUUCUCAGAGAAGAAUUUUGACGGUAUCUGAGGAAUAAGCAUCGGCUAACACUGUGCCAGCAGCCGCGGUAAGACAGUGGAUGCAAGCGUUAUCCGGAAUGAUUGGGCGUAAAGCGUCUGUAGGUGGUUUAUCAAGUCUUUUGUCAAAGAUCAGGGCUUAACCCUGGGCCGGCAGGAGAAACUAGUAGACUUGAGUUCGGUAGGGGCAGAGGGAAUUCC